GAUGAACGCUGGCGGCGUGCUUAACACAUGCAAGUCGAACGGAAAGGCUCCUGCUUGCAGGGGUACUCGAGUGGCGAACGGGUGAGUAACACGUGGGUGAUCUGCCCUGCACUUCGGGAUAAGCCUGGGAAACUGGGUCUAAUACCGGAUAGGACGAUGGUUUGGAUGCCAUUGUGGAAAGUUUUUCGGUGUGGGAUGAGCUCGCGGCCUAUCAGCUUGUUGGCGGGGUAAUGGCCUACCAAGGCGUCGACGGGUAGCCGGCCUGAGAGGGUGUACGGCCACAUUGGGACUGAGAUACGGCCCAGACUCCUACGGGAGGCAGCAGUGGGGAAUAUUGCACAAUGGGCGCAAGCCUGAUGCAGCGACGCCGCGUGGGGGAUGACGGCCUUCGGGUUGUAAACUCCUUUCGCUAGGGACGAAGCGCAAGUGACGGUACCUGGAGAAGAAGCACCGGCGAACUACGG
rnacentral:rRNA from 1 species